rnacentral:rRNA from 1 species
UGCGGAAGGAUCAUUAUCGAGUUUUGAACGGGUUGUAGCUGACCUCUUUUUGGGGUAUGUGCACGCCUGGCUCAUCCACUCUCAACCUCUGUGCACUUCAUGUAAAGAGAACGGUGUAAGCUGAUUUUGUAAAGAAGUCAGUGACAAGCCUUCUCUUGCGUUUUACCACAAACACUUCAGUUAUAGAAUGUUUACUGUGUAUAACACAAUUAUAUACAACUUUCAGCAACGGAUCUCUUGGCUCUCGCAUCGAUGAAGAACGCAGCGAAAUGCGAUAAGUAAUGUGAAUUGCAGAAUUCAGUGAAUCAUCGAAUCUUUGAACGCACCUUGCACUCCUUGGUAUUCCGAGGAGUAUGCCUGUUUGAGUCUCAUGGUAUUCUCAACCCCUAAAUUUUUCUAGUGAAGAUUUGGUGGGCUUGGACUUGGAGGUUGUGUUGGCUCUCGCUAGUCGACUCCUCUGAAAUACAUUAGUGUGAACCUUACGGAUCGCCUUCAGUGUGAUAAUUAUCUGCGCUGUGGUGGUGAAGUAUUUAUUGUAUUCACGCUUCUAACCGUCUCUCCUUCGAGACAAAUACUUUGACAAUCUGAGCUCAAAUCAGGGUAGGAUUACCCGCUGAACUUAAGCAUAUCAAUAAGCGGAGGAAAAGAAACUAACAAGGAUUCCCCUAGUAAC